rnacentral:rRNA from 1 species
CGGGGGGAGCAAGCGUUGUUCGGAUUUACUGGGCGUAAAGGGCGUGUAGGCGGCCACCGCAAGUCGACUGUGAAAUCUCCGGGCUUAACUCGGAAAGGUCAGCCGAUACUGCGGGGCUAGAGUGCAGAAGGGGCAACUGGAAUUCUCGGUGUAGCGGUGAAAUGCGUAGAUAUCGAGAGGAACACCUGCGGCGAAGGCGGGUUGCUGGGCUGACACUGACGCUGAAACGCGAAAGCUAGGGGAGCGAACGGGAUUAGAUAUCCCGGUAGUCCUAGCCUUAAACGAUGAAUGCUUGGUGUCUGGGGUUUUAUAGUCCCCGGGUGCCGUCGCUAACGCUUUAAGCAUUCCGCCUGGGGAGUACGGUCGCAAGACUG